GCUAAUCUAGCAAAUAAGAAACAUUAGCCAAAGGCCAACAGUAUUUAUAACUAAUAUAGCGUCUGCAUGUAUCUUUAGGGCAGAGAAGGGCAGCAGGACCCAGCCGGGCCAGAAAACUUCAUGCUACAGAGACACAAACACAGAAGGAUCUGAGAGCCUCAUCUCUACUUCCAACAGCCUUUCUAAAUACUUGCUUCAGACAAAUUCACCCUCUCUUGAUUGCACUAUCGGCAGACUAAUAAAGAUCUUAAUAAGGUAUAUUUUUGCAAAAAUGAGUGAAGAGCCAAGGGGUUCAGACCAGGCUUGUGAAACCCACAGAAACAGCUGACCUGAACAUCAGGGAAGUCUUGCUCCACAGACUGAUAGCUGGGAUACCAGCAUGGGACUGUUCCAACCCCAGGAACAUGGAUUUCAGUGAGGAAACCUCAGAAAUCUACAGGACCUCCUGUAGUAGUUCAGUACUUAUCCCUAGCAUAGGUGUGGACUUUGGGAGCCCAUUCCACAUACUCUGGAAUACUCCCUGAGCCACACGGUCGUGGGCCUAGGCCCUAUCCCAAAGGAUAUGAUAGAAUCUGAUGACACUCUAUGAAAGGCAUCACCAUCGAGGGGGAGCAGAAAG
rnacentral:lncRNA from 1 species